rnacentral:rRNA from 1 species
GAUGAACGCUGGCGGCGUGCUUAACACAUGCAAGUCGAACGAGAACCAUAUGAUAGAGGAUUCGUCCAAUUGAGUAUGGGGAAAGUGGCGGACGGGUGAGUAACGCGUGAGCAAUCUGCCUUGGAGUGGGGAAUAACGGCUGGAAACAGCCGCUAAUACCGCAUGAUACAGCUGGGUCGCAUGGCUCUGGCUGUCAAAGAUUUAUCGCUCUGAGAUGAGCUCGCGUCUGAUUAGCUAGUUGGCGGGGUAAAGGCCCACCAAGGCGACGAUCAGUAGCCGGACUGAGAGGUUGGCCGGCCACAUUGGGACUGAGACACGGCCCAG